rnacentral:rRNA from 1 species
UACCAGCACCCCGAGUGGUCGGGACGUUUUAUUGGGCCUAAAGCAUCCGUAGCCGGUUCUACAAGUCUUCCGUUAAAUCCAACUGCUUAACAGGUGGGCUGCGGAAGAUACUAUAGAGCUAGGAGGCGGGAGAGGCAAGCGGUACUCGAUGGGUAGGGGUAAAAUCCGUUGAUCCAUUGAAGACCACCGGUGGCGAAGGCGGCUU